AGAACGAACGCUGGCGGCAUGCCUAAUACAUGCAAGUCGAACGAACUCUUCGGAGUUAGUGGCGCACGGGUGCGUAACGCGUGGGAAUCUGCCCUUGGGUUCGGAAUAACAGUUGGAAACGACUGCUAAUACCGGAUGAUGACGUAAGUCCAAAGAUUUAUCGCCCAAGGAUGAGCCCGCGUAGGAUUAGCUAGUUGGUGGGGUAAAGGCCUACCAAGGCGACGAUCCUUAGCUGGUCUGAGAGGAUGAUCAGCCACACUGGGACUGAGACACGGCCCAGACUCCUACGGGAGGCAGCAGUAGGGAAUAUUGGACAAUGGGCGAAAGCCUGAUCCAGCAAUGCCGCGUGAGUGAUGAAGGCCUUAGGUUGUAAAGCUCUUUACCCGAGAUGAUAAUGACAGUAUCGGAAGAAUAAGCCCCGGACUAACUCCGCGCCAGCAGCCCGC
rnacentral:rRNA from 1 species